GACGGAGGGGGCUAGCGUUGUUCGGAAUUACUGGGCGUAAAGGGCGCGUAGGCGGUCAUAUAAGUUGGAAGUGAAAUCCCGGAGCUUAACUUCGGAACUGCUUUCAAAACUGUAUGACUUGAGGACGGUAGGGGGUGAUGGAAUUCCUAGUGUAGAGGUGAAAUUCUUAGAUAUUAGGAGGAACACCGGUGGCGAAGGCGAUCACCUGGGCCGUUUCAGACGCUGAGGCGCGAAAGCGUGGGUAGCAAACAGG
rnacentral:rRNA from 1 species